rnacentral:rRNA from 1 species
ACGUAGGUGGCAAGCGUUGUCCGGAUUUAUUGGGUUUAAAGGGUGCGUAGGCGGCCCUGUAAGUCAGUGCUGAAAUCCCCCGGCUUAACCGGGGUGGUGGCAUUGAUACUGCAGGGCUUGAGUACAGAUGAGGUAGGCGGAAUUGACGGUGUAGCGGUGAAAUGCGUAGAUAUCGGGAGGAACACCUGUGGCGAAAGCGGCAUACUGGACCACAACUGACGCUGAGGCGCGAAAGCUAGGGGAGCAAACAGGA